rnacentral:rRNA from 1 species
UACGUAGGCAGCAAGCGUUGUUCGGAUUCACUGGGCGUAAAGGGUGCGUAGGCGGCCAGGUAAGUCUGCUGUGAAAUCCCGCAGCUCAACUGCGGAACUGCAUUGGAUACUAUCUGGCUAGAGGAAUGGAGGGGAGACUGGAAUUCUCGGUGUAGCAGUGAAAUGCGUAGAUAUCGAGAGGAACACCAGUGGCGAAGGCGAGUCUCUGGACAUUUCCUGACGCUGAGGCACGAAAGCCAGGGGAGCAAACGGG